rnacentral:lncRNA from 1 species
UAGUGGCUGAGGAGGGAGAUCGGGCACGGAUGUCGACGGGCGGCAUUUGGGGCACCUCUUUUGAGAACUGCGAUUGUGAGAGUAAACUUCAAAUUGAUUUCCUGAAUGGGUUCCCGGGAUGGUGAGGAUUGAUAGGGUGGUUUCCUUCCGGAAAGAGACACGCGGGAAGAAAAGAAAUCGAAGAAAGAAAAUAUAGAAGGAUGGAUUUCCUUACGUGCAUGUAGAGGAAGAAGAACACGAGCCGGUGCUGGUGCUGGUGCUCGCUCGGUGGAGAUGGGCCGGCCCAGUUGGGUCGGUCCAUUAUCUCUUUUUUUUUCUUUUUUUUCUUUUCUUUUUUUUCAUUUCUGUUUUUAUUAAUAACUUUUGAUUCCUAACUUCAAAUAAGUCCAAAUAAACUCCAGUAAAUUUGUAAAUUCAAAUCCUCCAAAGUGUAAAAUUUGGGAUUUGAAUCCUUUCAAAAUAAAAUAAGUAAAAAUACUUUUUCUUAUAUAAAUGUCAUUACGGCUUUAUAAGUAAUACAUAAAAUAGAUUUUGAAAUCUAUUAUGAAACCUUUGUUUCAUAAAUGAGUUUAAACUCCAAUAAAAUAUUGGGUUGGCAUACUUCGCACUAAAACCCUUACUUAGCUAAAUACCCCAUUGGGUUGAACUCCAAAUAAAAUCUCAUAAUAAUUAAACGGUUCAAUAAAAUUCUCAAAUGGCUUUAUAACACGAAAUCACAAACUAUGUAAACAUCGCAGAUGUUUCUAACUAUAUAUGUUUGGAAAGUCACGUUAUCCCACUCUCAACAAUGGAAUAAAUGUUGGAAUAACAUUUGCACAUGAGGAUGUCACGUUCUCCUCUUCUCGAAUAUUUGAUAACUUCUUCUCGAAAACAAAAUUAACAUGUCAAAAUAAAAAUCGAGAAAACAUAGGUGCAUCAUUAAAUAUGUUUCAAACCUUAUAACUAGGAAAGUCAUAUUAUUCCCUCUCGUUAUCCUUUAGAUAAAUGUUGGAGAACAUUUCUGAUCGAUUUAAAUAUUCCAACGAUGCUCUCAAAUGGUCAUGGCAUCCAAAUUGGAAACUUAGUGUGUUAGUAAAUCCUUCAAAUAGGACAUAGGAUUUAUUUGGAUGCAAAGAAUAAUCCGGUGCAAAUCAUAAGAUGCAUAUGGGUCCCAAAUAGAAUAACUUUGAACUUACAUAAAUGUCCCAACC